CCCUCACACCUUACCUAUGCACAGUGGAAGCAGAUUUGCUGAGGGAAGUUCGGAUGGUGCCGCCCUCACCCCAUCUCUCCCCCCAGAGAGGAGCAUGCUCUUCUAAGCCUGGCAAGGAUCAGACCCCUCGUUAACUGACACUUUAUUCCUUUGUGUGGAUCCAUGUUUCCAUCUGGUAUCAUUUUCCUCCUGCUUGAAAGAAUUCCAUUAAUAUUACUUACCGUGUAAGAAGUAGAUUUAUUUAGAGAGAAACAUACUCCACACAGAGUGUGGGCCAUCUCAGAAGAUUUUAAAGAAAACUUCAAAAAGACAUGGUUCCAGCUGUUGAGAUAGGAUCAAGAUGGUGGAGUAGGAAGACGUGCGCUCACUCCCUCUUGCAAGAGCACCAGAAUUACAACUAACUGCUGAACAAUCACCGACAGAAAGACACUGGAACUCACCAAAAAAGACACCCCACAUCCAGAGACAAAGGAGAAGCCACAAUGAGACAGUAGGAGGGGUGCAAUCACGUUAAAAUCAAAUCCCAUAAAUGCUGGGUGGGUGACUCACAAACUGGAGAACAG